GUCCAGCACCGUAAUUGAAAAUGAGUUCUUGAUUCGCUAUAGUAGGAGAUGAGAUACAUUCUCCGACUGUGGCGAACAAGUAACUCAUUUUCAAGUACGAUGCUCUGAU
rnacentral:pre_miRNA from 1 species